UAUGCCUGCUUGUUUAUUUUAGAUGAAGUAUGUAUUUCCGGCAAGGUUCUGAAAACCAAACCGGUCAUCGAACCAUUCUAACUACUGGUUCACUGGUUUAUAGGUUCAACCGAUUCGACUGUGGUUGAACUGAAAAAAACGUUUUAUAAUAAAUAUAAAUAAACUGAUAUCAUAUAACCAUGUAGGCAAACUCAACAAUUAUAUUGAAUUAGAAAAAGUAUAAGGUAUAUUGUGAAUAAUUAAACCAUCAAUAAAAUAAGCAAAUUCACAACCAUUAGGAAGGAAGAUUGAAUUAGUGAGAGGGUGAGCUUCUUACAACAGAAAAGAGGGAGAAUUGAAACAACAAUCAAUGAAACAAAUCAAACAAUGAUAGCUGCCCCUUUCUCUAUUCCUCUAUUAUAAACACACCAAAUAUAGUUAUAGUCUAACAAAUUUCAACAAAUCCAAAUUAAUAUACUCACUAGCAAGAACAAUCUCAACAGCAAGAAUCACAAUAACAAUAAUUUAAUGAAUUAACAAGAGCAAGAUUGGAAUAGAAAAACCAACAACCUAAUAACAAAAAACAAAAGCAAUCUAUAUCCCAAGAAUCACAAUAACAAUUUAAAAAAUCAACAAAUUAACAAUUUAAAAAAAAAACACAGCAACCCAAUAAUCUGAAGAACAAUAAUAGGUAUAUGAAACAAACAACAAAACUUGAAUAGAAAAAUCCAACAAAUUCAGCCACAGCAACCCAACAAUUUAACAAAUUAAGACAACAGCAGCCCAAUAAUUUAGCAAAUUAUCAACUUAACAAGUUCAAUAACAAAAAAUCACUAUAAAACCAAAAAUAUUAAAGUAAACAGAGCAACAACAUAACAGAAGUAAAAGGGUGAAGCAUAUGAAUCUUCUAAAUUGAAACAGUUAUAUGAUGAAGGUAUAGACAUAGGGUUCUUGGAGAAGAGGUGGCUGGACCGUUGAGGAACUGGAGAAGGAGUGGUUGGACCGUCGCGGAACUGGAGAAGGGGUGGCUAGAUCGUCGCGUAACUGGAGCCGUGGAGGGGUGGAGCACGGCAGAUCUGGAGCAGAGGAGGGCUGGAGCGCGGUGGACCAGAACCGACGCGGCAGAACAGCGGCUACUCCACGGAGAAACGACACGAGACGAGUUGCAGUGGGACGGCGGCUUCGAGCAUAUGCGAUGCGAUGCGAUGCGACACGACGGCUGGGACGAGCGGAGAAACGCUAAAGCAGUGGGGCGACAGCUAAACCAGAUUCGACGGCGGCGGUAGGACGGCAGCAGUGAUAGCUUGAAGAAGAGAGUAGCGAUGGAGGCUAGGGUUUUUUCUUUUGAGAGAGGGAUGCAGAGGGAAGAUGAGUGGGAGACAGAGAGGGAGACAGUGACUUGGUGUUGGUGACGCUCUUUUUAUUUUUUUCAAUUUUCUUUUUUUUAUUUAAAAUUCAAAACGGUGAGUUGAAAUGUGAAAACCGGUCGAGUCCCGGUUCGGUCCGAUCGACCGGUUCCCGACCGGUCCAACGGUCCAAUUUCGGUUUUUGAAAUGAGCGGUUAUGCUAUUUGUCGGAACCGUUUUUCUUAUCGGUUCACGGUUCGACCGGUUCAACCGGCCGGUUUGAACCAAUUUUCAUAACAUUGAUUUCCGGUUUAUAAAGUGAUUAGCGAUACGGUGUUGAGUCACAAGCUCCUAUUUUAAUAUUUAGUAUGUAAAGUAGUCGUAAUACUUCUUGCUA